rnacentral:rRNA from 1 species
UACGGAGGAUGCGAGCGUUAUCCGGAUUUAUUGGGUUUAAAGGGUGCGUAGGCGGAAUGGUAAGUCAGUGGUGAAAUGGUGCAGCUCAACUGUAGCAUUGCCAUUGAUACUGUCAUUCUUGAGUACAGAUGAGGUAGGCGGAAUGUGGUGUGUAGCGGUGAAAUGCUUAGAUAUACCACAGAACACCGAUUGCGAAGGCAGCUUACUAAGCUGACACUGACGCUGAAGCACGAAAGCGUGGGUAUCAAACAGGAUUAGAUACCCCCGUAGUCC